CCCUGGUCCAUGGUUGCUGCUUCCUUGGACAAGCCCCAAGCACAGCCCCAAUCAGGGCACUGGGACAGAUCCUGCCCCAGCUUGUGGAAGCUGCUGGAGGGCAUCCAGCAAAAGGAAUGAAAACAAAGAAUUUUCAAGAGACCAAGGCCAAAGGAUUACUCAGUCAAGGAGAGAGAGAUUAACUCAGUUUCGUGCUGUUGCAAACUGGGAACGGUUUCACUGGUUACAGUGGGCUGACAAGUCAAAAUCCACCCUAUGCUCAGCUCUGACUAACCUUGGACUCUGCUACGUUCAACCUGC